GAUGAACGCUGGCGGCGUGCCUAAUACAUGCAAGUCGAGCGAACAGAUGAGGAGCUUGCUCCUCUGACGUUAGCGGCGGACGGGUGAGUAACACGUGGAUAACCUACCUAUAAGACUGGGAUAACUUCGGGAAACUGGAGCUAAUACCGGAUAAUAUAUUGAACCGCAUGGUUCAAUAGUGAAAGACGGUUUUGCUGUCACUUAUAGAUGGAUCCGCGCCGCAUUAGCUAGUUGGUAAGGUAACGGCUUACCAAGGCAACGAUGCGUAGCCGACCUGAGAGGGUGAUCGGCCACACUGGAACUGAGACACGGUCCAGACUCCUACGGGAGGCAGCAGUAGGGAAUCUUCCGCAAUGGGCGAAAGCCUGACGGAGCAACGCCGCGUGAGUGAUGAAGGUCUGCGGAUCGUAAAACUCUGUUAUUAGGGAAGAACAAAUGUGUAAGUAACUAUGCACGUCUUGACGGUACCUAAUCAGAAAGCCACGGCUAACUACGU
rnacentral:rRNA from 1 species